rnacentral:rRNA from 1 species
UGCGGCUCGCGAUGUAGCGGGACUUCGGUCUCGCGGCACGCGUCCGCAUGUUUUUUAUUGCCGGAAUCGUCGGCGUGCACUUCUCCCCUAGUAGGACGUCGCGACCCGUUGGGUGUCGGUCUACGGCACGGUAGGAUAGCCUGUCACGUUUGGCGCUUCACGGCGUUAAGCGGGGCAGACCUCCGUUCGCCCGACCGGCUGCUCGGCGGUACUCGCAAGGUAUCUGGCCGCAGACAUACGAACUGCGUCCGGCCCGUCGCAAGCGCGGCAAGUGUUUCCCGGCUGUACGGAUCUAAUGCCGUCACCGGGCCUUGCCAGCUGUUGGUUGACGGUGUCCUAGGACUGGCUAAAAAUAUUAUGAUACCGGUCGGCGACGCUAUUGCUUUGGGUACUUUCAGGACCCGUCUUGAAACACGGACCAAGGAGUCUAACAUGUGCGCGAGUCAUUGGGAGCUAUUAAGCCUAAAGGCGAAAUGAAAGUGAAGAUCGGCCUCGCGCCGAUCGAGGGAGGAUGGGCCGCGUCACGAUGCGGUCCCGCACUCCCGGGGCGUCUCGUUCUCAUUGCGAGAAGAGGCGCACCCAGAGCGUACACGUUGGGACCCGAAAG